AAACAACCCACGACGAUACGAUUGUCUUAUCAUUCUACCUUUGUGGCACCGAGAGAAUCAACCAUGUCCACAAAAUUAUUCGCAGUUAUGUUGGUUGCCAUGCUUGUGAUAAUGGCGCAGUGCAAUGAUGCAGCAUCCAUCGACAACACUGCAAAAGAGACGUCUAGACCAAUGUUUAAAAAAGAGUUAAGCUUUUGCUGGCUGCCGGAUAAACACAUGUUUUGUGAGUGUGAAACCUUUUCGGUCUGCCAACCAGCGUCCGCUUUCCUUGGAUAGAAAUGUUCCGCUACCGGUUUUAGUUUCAAUGAUGGCGAUAAAUCAUCUACGACAACUCGAAUGUCUUUCUUCGAUGCUAUGUACUUUAAACGCCUAUAAUAUUUAGCCUUCUCGAUUAUGUCUCGUCGACCAUAUUAGAUCAUAUUAUUUUGAAUAUAUUAAUACUGCAGUUUCUGGUAGUAUGUAAUUUAUUCGUCAUAUUUGCUUAAAUUUUGUGAAACCAGCCCCGAGUUAGUAAAACAGUACGUCAAACGUGGUGAAAGUAUCCACAUGUAGUGCUCUCGACAUAUAGUUAAUAAAAGAGACAUAAUUAUAUU